AUGAUGACGAUGGCGGCGGAGGACCAGGCGGCGGUGCCGCGGGUGGUGUCGAUCCUGUCGGCGCUGCUGGAGCGCGUGGCGGAGCGCAACGACGUCGUCGCGGCGGUGGAGCGGCGCAUACGGGACGUGGAGGAGCAGCAGGAGGAGGAUGAUCAAGGAGAAGACGGCAAGGAGACGACGACGACGGCCAAGAAGAAGAAGGCGGUGUCGGCGUUCCAGGGGCUGACGAAGCCGGCCAUCUCCGUCGGCGGAUACCUGGAGCGCAUCUUCCGGUUCGCCGGCUGCAGCCCCUCCUGCUACGUGGUGGCCUACAUCUACCUCGACCGCUUCCUGCGCCGCCGCCCCGCCCUCGCCGUCGACUCCUUCAACGUCCACCGCCUCCUCAUCACCUCCGUCCUCACCGCCGUCAAGUUCGUCGAUGACAUAUGCUACAACAACGCCUACUUCGCGAGGGUGGGGGGGGUCAGCCUCAUGGAGAUGAACUACCUGGAGGUGGACUUCCUCUUCGGCAUCGCCUUCGACCUCAACGUCACGCCCGCCGUCUUCGCCUCCUACUGCGCCGUGCUGCAGACCGAGAUGGCCUACCUCGAGCACCCGCCGCCGUCCAUCGACGCCGUCUCGCCCACCAGCUUGCUGCAGCACUGCUUGCCCGACCAGGAGGUCGACACCGCCGCCGCCGCCGCCGCUACCAAGUCCGGCUGCCACCGACACCAGCAGCAGCUCACCGUCUGA
rnacentral:rRNA from 1 species